rnacentral:rRNA from 1 species
GACGAACGCUGGCGGCGUGCUUAACACAUGCAAGUCGAGCGGAAAGGCCCUUUCGGGGGUACUCGAGCGGCGAACGGGUGAGUAACACGUGAGUAACCUGCCCCAGUCUUUGGGAUAACCCUCGGAAACGGGGGCUAAUACCGGAUAUGACCUGGUCUCGCAUGGGAUCGGGUGGAAAGUUUUUUCGGUCUGGGAUGGGCGUCGCGGCCUAUCAGCUUGUUGGUGGGGUGAUGGCCUACCAAGGCGACGACGGGAGCCGGCCUGAGAGGGCGACCGGCCACACUGGGACUGAGACACGGCCCAGACUCCUACGGGAGGCAGCAGUGGGGAAUAUUGCACAAUGGGCGCAAGCCUGAUGCAGCGACGCCGCGUGAGGGAUGACGGCCU